GUACCAUUGAAGAAACAGUUCGUUAAAUCUCGAAGAAGGCGGCACCAUCUGUAGAAUUCUUGAGGGCACUGUUUCAUACCUUCAAAUCCAUCAGGAAGAAUUUCUUCUCCAGCUCCAUAUUGUGUGGCAUUUGUCAGCACGGAUGCCUGACUAGGUUGAGCAUCCUGACUCGUCUACCUCUUUGCCUGCAGUUUUGGUUAAUGUUCUGAUGCUGACACCACGCGGCACCUGUUGGAAUCACAAAGCAUCACUGAUAUGCACUCUGCAAGUUGAGGGUAACAGCUAGGGGUUAUAGGAAACUUUUGGAAACGGAAAUGAAGUCCGGGAUCUCGUACGCAGAUCAGUCCAUCGACUAGAUGUUCCAAGCCAUCCAUUAUUCAGGUGAUGCUAUUCAAAUCAUAGUGAGCUAAAGUCAUCACUGAAAGUUGUCCUUAAGUAUACCCACCUUAGCCUAGCUUUCAACCAUAUGGAAGUUCGUCGGGCAUUUCAUAUCUUAAACUGAUCGUCAAAGUUUAUUUGAGAGUGUAAAAAUGUUGGCAAAGUGUGCACAGUUGGGCCUCAUUGGAUUCAAAUCCAGAGAGGGACUGACGUGUUUCAGUCAAAGCAGAAGAUGAGCUUGAUCUUUCUUUGGUGAAGUUGUAUUUCAAUGUUACUGGCACAUUUUAUCCAGUUGUGUUACAGCAAAAGGUUCUCAACUGAGGUACUUUGUUGUUGCCUUUUGGUUUCAUUUUCUGAUUUCAUCAAGUCAACGUGAAUCUCUGACUAGAAGAGUGAUCACCUAUUUUACAUUUCUGUUUAGUAUUGCAAUUAGGAUCCCCAUCCAUUACACUUUCAUUGCUAGCUUGGAUUGAGGCGAAUGACUAGGAACUAUCUUGUUCAUGGAUCCAGUGUAAACCAGCAGGUGGAUUUGAGUGUCUUAUCUUCCAGGCAUACGUAUCCAAUAAGAGUUUUAGGCAGAAACUUGAAUCAGCUGAUGGACAUGAUGUCUCUGGUCUCAGUAAUGGCUGGACUUCAGCCUUACACCAUCCAGACUUGAG